GGGGAUGUAAUGGUUUCGACAUUAAUCCAGAAACAUUAUAAGCGAGUAGUGGAUGGCUGCUUUGGCCACUUAAAAAAAGCAGAAUAAAUAUAAACGCUGAUAAUAGAGAAUUAGCAUACGCUGCCUAAUUAUGGCGCGUCACUUUAAUAUAAUUGCCUACAGAUUAUACUAAAGUGUCAAAACUAUGUAGGAAACGAAGCUAUCUUUUCCAUAGUGAUAGUGGGUAAUAAAUAUGGAUACAAUUAAUUAAAGUACGUUUACUUACUUAAUUAAUUGGAAACCUAACAGUAAACUGCACUCGGAGAAAGUAAUGUGGAAAGAUUAAUGGACGUGAGUUCGACUCUCACCAUCUCCACCA
rnacentral:tmRNA from 1 species